rnacentral:sRNA from 1 species
ACAGAGUGAGACUCCGUCUCAAAAAAAAAAAAAAAAAAAAAAAAAGAAAUAACACUCUAUGUAAGGGUUACUGAAAGGAUUAAAUGAGGCCAUAUAAGCAUAUAAGCACAGUGCUUUGUGGAGGGGGUUCUGGGUAAAGCACUGGCUCCUUCCUCCCUUCUCAGCUACAGGGCAGGGCCUCGUCUGCCCUGGUGUAGGUCAUGGGCCGUCUUGGGUCCCCCUUCCAUUGUCAGGCUGUACUGGGUUCCUCCCACAGGGUCUGGCCUAGGAGCAGGAUGUGUUGUGAGUGUGGUGUGACUCAGUCUCUGCUUUCUAAGGACUUGAAAAAUAGAGGAACCCAGGUGGGCAUACUUGGACAAUGUUGCCCUGUUGACCACUUCUCGCUGAACUUGGGAAGGAGGGAAUGUUUUCUGGAUGGGAAGAAUCCAGUCAGGCCUCCUGGAGGGGGUGGUAAGAAUCUCAAGCCUUGAAGGAUGGGAAAGAGCACAAUAACAACAGUGACAAAGGAUAGAUCACAAAGCAUCAUGGACUCACCUGACUCAUGCUCCGUGCCAGGCUGAGGAAGUGUUUUCUGCUGGCAGUGAGAGAAGGAAGGGCAUUCUCCAGGUAGAAGGAGCUGUUUGUGCAGAAGCAUGAAGGCCGCUAAAAGGGGGCUGCUGAUAGCAAUGAGGAGGCUGGGGCUGGAGGCAGGGAAUCUGAGGAGGCCUAGUAAAUUGUCCAGACCUGAGAUGGGGCCAUGACUACCUGGAGCAGGACAGAGAGGAGAAUUCCAGAGAGGGCCCAAUUCCAGAGAUGUCAGAAGUAGACUCGACAUCCACUGUAUUAGGACUUGGCCAGGCCGAGGGAGAGAGAGUAGUCUGAGGCAAGCCUAGUUAUGGGUCUUGGACAUUGGGACCAAGGGUGAUGUUACCAGUAAAAUGAGCAACCCAGGAGGAGGCGCAGGUUUGCAGGGAGGAGUGUUGAGGUCCUUUCUGCACAUCUUGAGUCCGCUGUCCCUGUGGGAGGGACCUCUGGGGCAGUCCCAUGGGCAGGCAGGGUCUGGUGCUCAGGAAAGGGGUCCAGGCACAUCGGGGAGGUAGUAACAGUUCUUAUGGUGGGCCUGGAAGGCAAAUCUGUUAUUUCAUUUGAGUCUCACAACUUUGGCAGAGCUGGAUUGCCCCCCAUCGUGCAGCUGAAGCCCCAUCCUGAUCCUAACCCUGUUCAUCUGGCAAAAGGUCCAAACUUGGACAUCAGGGAUGUCUGGGAUAUCGGGGGUGGGGCGGGUGGGUGUGAGAGGAGUCUGGACCAGCCAGCUUCAGAACCAAGUCAGAUAGGUUAGCUAUUGUUGUGGUUAUUAUUGCCAUCCAGGAAUGAGGUCUGGUAGACGGCAGGGAAGCCUUGUGGGUCCUGACGGGAGGGACAGCCUGGUCACCACUUCUGUUCACCUCUGCCCACUUUUCUUUCCUGGCCCAGACUUAUGCAGAGAUGGACCCCACCACAGCAGCCUUGGAGAAGGAGCAUGAGGCGAUCACCAAGGUGAAGUAUGUGGACAAGAUCCACAUCGGGAACUACGAAAUUGAUGCCUGGUAUUUCUCACCAUUCCCCGAAGACUAUGGGAAACAGCCCAAGCUCUGGCUCUGCGAGUACUGCCUCAAGUACAUGAAAUAUGAGAAGAGCUACCGCUUCCACUUGGGUCAGUGCCAGUGGCGGCAGCCCCCCGGGAAAGAGAUCUACCGCAAGAGCAACAUCUCCGUGUACGAAGUUGAUGGCAAAGACCAUAAGAUUUACUGUCAGAACCUGUGUCUGCUGGCCAAGCUUUUCCUGGACCAUAAGACACUGUACUUUGACGUGGAGCCGUUCGUCUUUUACAUCCUGACUGAGGUGGACCGGCAGGGGGCCCACAUUGUUGGCUACUUCUCCAAGGAGAAGGAGUCCCCAGAUGGAAACAAUGUGGCCUGCAUCCUGACCUUGCCCCCCUACCAACGCCGCGGCUACGGGAAGUUCCUCAUCGCUUUCAGUUAUGAGCUCUCCAAGCUGGAGAGCACGGUCGGCUCCCCGGAGAAGCCGCUGUCUGACCUGGGCAAGCUCAGCUACCGCAGCUACUGGUCCUGGGUGCUGCUGGAGAUCCUGCGGGACUUCCGGGGCACACUGUCCAUCAAGGACCUCAGCCAGAUGACCAGUAUCACCCAAAAUGACAUCAUCAGUACCCUGCAAUCCCUCAAUAUGGUCAAGUACUGGAAGGGCCAGCACGUGAUCUGUGUCACACCCAAGCUGGUGGAGGAGCACCUCAAAAGUGCCCAGUAUAAGAAACCACCCAUCACAGUGGACUCCGUCUGCCUCAAGUGGGCACCCCCCAAGCACAAGCAAGUCAAGCUCUCCAAGAAGUGAGCAGCCUGGCCCCUGCUGUCGGACCUGAGCCUCCUGGCUCCCAGCCUGUAAAUAUGUACAGACCUGUUUUGUCAUUUUUUUAAUAAAGUCAGUUCUGCUGGUGGCCCUGGACUUUGGAGGGGAAGGGGAGGCCAAGA